rnacentral:rRNA from 1 species
AGUGAACGCUGGCGGUAGGCUUAACACAUGCAAGUCGAACGGCAGCACAGUAAGAGCUUGCUCUUACGGGUGGCGAGUGGCGGACGGGUGAGGAAUACAUCGGAAUCUACUUUUUCGUGGGGGAUAACGUAGGGAAACUUACGCUAAUACCGCAUCUGACCUACGGGUGAAAGCAGGGGAUAUUCGGACCUUGCGCGAUUGAAUGAGCCGAUGUCGGAUUAGCUAGUUGGCGGGGUAAAGGCCCACCAAGGCGACGAUCCGUAGCUGGUCUGAGAGGAUGAUCGGCCACACUAGAACUGGGACGCGGACCAGACUCCUACGAGAGGCAGCAGUGGGGAAUAUGGGACAGUGGUGGCGAACCUGGUCCAGUCGGACCGCGUGGGUGAAGGAGACCUUCGGGUUGUGAUGCCGUUUUGUUGGUAGAGAAAAGCAGCAGCUUAUGACCCCGCGUUUCUGACGGUACCCAAAGAAGAAGCACCGGCUAACUUCGUG